GACGAACGCUGGCGGCGUGCUUAACACAUGCAAGUCGAACGGAAAGGCCCUGCUCUUGUGGGGUGCUCGAGUGGCGAACGGGUGAGUAACACGUGAGUAACCUGCCCUUGACUUUGGGAUAACUUCAGGAAACUGGGGCUAAUACCGGAUAGGAGCUCCUGCUGCAUGGUGGGGGUUGGAAAGUUUCGGCGGUUGGGGAUGGACUCGCGGCUUAUCAGCUUGUUGGUGGGGUAGUGGCUUACCAAGGCUUUGACGGGUAGCCGGCCUGAGAGGGUGACCGGCCACCUUGGGACUGCGAUACGGCCCAGACUCCUACGGGAGGCAGCAGUGGGGAAUAUUGCACAAUGGGCGGAAGCCUGAUGCAGCAACGCCGCGUGCGGGAUGACGGCCUUCGGGUUGUAAACCGCUUUCGCCUGUGACGAAGCGUGAGUGACGGUAAUGGGUAAAGAAGCACCGGCUAACUACGUG
rnacentral:rRNA from 1 species